CUGGUCGCCAGUCAGCCGCAGGGCACGUAUAAAGACAAACAACCAUUCACGCCCACAUCCACACCAUCUCUGAGUGGAAACCGAUCUUAGGCUGCCUGUGCACAAGUCAGGAGGCCACAUGGAGGAGGGCAAUGAAGCUGCCUGCCUGAAUGGCAGAUUUGGGCCAAUUAAGGUAGAACUGAAACAUGGACUUCAUGUAAACGCGCUCCCAUUUGCAGACGACAUUUCACAUUCUGUCGUCUCACGGCAACACCCUGCAGUUACAGCCUCCCACUCCUUCAAACGUACACACAGAAAACGGUUCGCCUCGUGUUCCACAUCCCAUGAGCCGCUCGGGCAGAUGACAAAAGCCAGAACAUUUUGAAGAACUGAUGGGAUAAACACCAUCGGACGCAGGUUUACAUCCGUCAUCCGAAUUGUGACUAACCAGGGAUGAAUACACCGGGCUUUGAGUGGAGCAGAGGAGGGGGCUCCUUGCCCUCUGACAGAACAAAAACAAGAUGUUUGAACAUCACUUGUCAAUCUGGUGACCUACCUGUGGUUGUGUUAGUGACUAACUAAAUCUUUUUCGUUCCUCACUUGCCUUUUUUAGGUCGUCCCAGCAGGUAAAGGAAAUUGGCUUUGUUGUUGGUACAUUUCAAUCCCACAGGUUGCAAUGACAUCGUCCCAUAUUGUUUUUAUUACCCAAUCACCACACUGUGUGUGUCUGUUUUCAGUAAAACUUUAUUUUGGCUUUGGGUCUCCUGUGUUGCGCCUGCGUGUGACAUGUUCUCGAUGCCGCCUAAGCUACGCCGCCAAGAAGAAAGAUCUGAAGGUCCUAAAGUAGUGAUUCGGCUUGAAAUAACAAUGGACUGAUGAUGAAGGACGGGUGGCCUGGCCGCUGGCCAGUGACGAAUGACGG